UGCAAGUCGAGCGAACGGACGAGAAGCUUGCUUCUCUGAUGUUAGCGGCGGACGGGUGAGUAACACGUGGAUAACCUACCUAUAAGACUGGGAUAACUUCGGGAAACCGGAGCUAAUACCGGAUAAUAUUUUGAACCGCAUGGUUCAAAAGUGAAAGACGGUCUUGCUGUCACUUAUAGAUGGAUCCGCGCUGCAUUAGCUAGUUGGUAAGGUAACGGCUUACCAAGGCAACGAUGCAUAGCCGACCUGAGAGGGUGAUCGGCCACACUGGAACUGAGACACGGUCCAGACUCCUACGGGAGGCAGCAGUAGGGAAUCUUCCGCAAUGGGCGAAAGCCUGACGGAGCAACGCCGCGUGAGUGAUGAAGGUCUUCGGAUCGUAAAACUCUGUUAUUAGGGAAGAACAUAUGUGUAAGUAACUGUGCACAUCUUGACGGUACCUAAUCAGAAAGCCACGGCUAACUACGUGCCAGCAGCCGCGGUAAUACGUAGGUGGCAAGCGUUAUCCGGAAUUAUUGGGCGUAAAGCGCGCGUAGGCGGUUUUUUAAGUCUGAUGUGAAAGCCCACGGCUCAACCGUGGAGGGUCAUUGGAAACUGGAAAACUUGAGUGCAGAAGAGGAAAGUGGAAUUCCAUGUGUAGCGGUGAAAUGCGCAGAGAUAUGGAGGAACACCAGUGGCGAAGGGCGACUUUCUGGUCUGUAACUGACGCUGAUGUGCGAAAGCGUGGGGAUCAAACAGGAUUAGAUACCCUGGUAGUCCACGCCGUAAACGAUGAGUGCUAAGUGUUAGGGGGUUUCCGCCCCUUAGUGCUGCAGCUAACGCAUUAAGCACUCCGCCUGGGGAGUACGACCGCAAGGUUGAAACUCAAAGGAAUUGACGGGGACCCGCACAAGCGGUGGAGCAUGUGGUUUAAUUCGAAGCAACGCGAAGAACCUUACCAAAUCUUGACAUCCUUUGACAACUCUAGAGAUAGAGCUUUCCCCUUCGGGGGACAAAGUGACAGGUGGUGCAUGGUUGUCGUCAGCUCGUGUCGUGAGAUGUUGGGUUAAGUCCCGCAACGAGCGCAACCCUUAAGCUUAGUUGCCAUCAUUAAGUUGGGCACUCUAAGUUGACUGCCGGUGACAAACCGGAGGAAGGUGGGGAUGACGUCAAAUCAUCAUGCCCCUUAUGAUUUGGGCUACACACGUGCUACAAUGGACAAUACAAAGGGCAGCGAAACCGCGAGGUCAAGCAAAUCCCAUAAAGUUGUUCUCAGUUCGGAUUGUAGUCUGCAACUCGACUACAUGAAGCUGGAAUCGCUAGUAAUCGUAGAUCAGCAUGCUACGGUGAAUACGUUCCCGGGUCUUGUACACACCGCCCGUCACACCACGAGAGUUUGUAACACCCGAAGCCGGUGGAGUAACCUUUUAGGAGCUAGCCGUCGAA
rnacentral:rRNA from 1 species